GAUAUUUCUAAUCCUCCGCAGAGCCGUGGCGCCCCGUAAACGGUGAUACUGGUGAAAUAUAUGUUAAGGAACAGGCUUUGCUGUUUCUUCAAAUUAAAUCUGUUGCUUUCUGCUGUCCCUCUUCCACUGGCCUGACAGAUGGGCUUAGACAGAGUUUCAGGUUGUACCAGAGAAAUGCUCACAUCGGAGCAUGGGUCACAACUCCUCAGCGUGGCCCAGCGAAGCCUCUCAC
rnacentral:lncRNA from 1 species